rnacentral:lncRNA from 1 species
AUGGAGUGGCCAGUCUUGAAGAGUGAAGAAGCUGCAUGUGGCAGUGAAGAAUGGGAAGUACUUGUGACAUGGAGAAGUGUGAGCUGCAGGUGUAUCAGCCUGCUCAGGCUGCAUAACAGAAUACAGCAGACUCGGGGGCUUAAACAACAGACACUUCUUCUAUCACGGUUCUGGAGGCUGGAAGUCCAAGAUCGAGGAGCCCGCGGGGUUGGUUCCAGGCACUCGAGAACUGUACGUGAUGCAAGCCCGAAGGAGCUUCCUGGUGCACAUGUGCAGAGAGAAGAGCGAAGCCAGUGCUUCAUUCUGGGAGACGCUGUCAAAUCCAGGAAGUAUCUUUGGUGCUUCUGCCUGGCUGGAGAGCUCAAUGCUUGGCUGCAGACCCUCUCUGUGCCCCGGAUAGCUACGAGCCUUCCUCCAUCAUGGCACUAUCAUAACAGGGCCCUGUGGCUGUCAGCUGGUUUGUCUGCUUCUCCUACUAGGUAUGAGCGCCUGUUUUUUCUGUCUCUGCGUUGCUGCCCCUGA